AGGACGAACGCUGGCGGCGUGCUUAACACAUGCAAGUCGAGCGGAAAGGCCUUUCGGGGUACUCGAGCGGCGAACGGGUGAGUAACACGUGAGUAAUCUGCCCAUCGCUUCAGGAUAGCCAUCGGAAACGGUGAUUAAUACUGGAUAUGACAUUCCUUCGCAUGUUGGGGUGUGGAAAGUUUUUUCGGCGGUGGAUGUGCUCGCGGCCUAUCAGCUUGUUGGUGGGGUAAUGGCCUACCAAGGCUUUGACGGGUAGCCGGCCUGAGAGGGUGACCGGCCACACUGGGACUGAGACACGGCCCAGACUCCUACGGGAGCAGCAGUAGGGAAUAUGGACAAUGGGGGCAACCUGAUCCAGCAAUGCCGCGUGAGUGAUGAAGGCCUUAGGGUGUAAAGCUCUUUACCCGAGAUGAUAAUGACAGUAUCGGAGAAUAAGCUCCGGCUAACUCCGCGCCAGCAGCCGC
rnacentral:rRNA from 1 species